rnacentral:rRNA from 1 species
AUGCAAGUCGAGCGGGAUUUUUUCCUGUAGCAAUACAGGGAAAAGUCUAGCGGCGAACGGGUGCUUAACACGUGGGCAACCUGCCAUGAAGUGGGGGAUAGCUCGCCGAAAGGCGAAUUAAUACCGCAUGUGAUCAGAGUGGACAUCCAUUCGAAAUCAAAGUCGGGGCAACCUGACGCUUCUUGACGGGCCCGCGGCCUAUCAGCUAGUUGGUGAGGUAACGGCCCACCAAGGCUUAGACGGGUAGCUGGUCUGAGAGGACGACCAGCCACACUGGGACUGAGACACGGCCCAGACACCUACGGGUGGCAGCAGUCGAGAAUUUUUCUCAAUGGGGGAAACCCUGAAGGAGCGACGCCGCGUGGAGGAUGAAGGUCUUCGGGUUGUAAACUCCUGUCAUUUGGGAACAAGGUGUGCGCGUUAACUGCGCGCAUAUUGAUAGUACCAGAAGAGGAAGAGACGGCUAACUCUGUGCCAGCAGCCGCGGUAAUACAGAGGUCUCAAGCGUUGUUCGGAUUCAUUGGGCGUAAAGGGUGCGUAGGCGGCGCGGUAAGUCGGAUGUGAAAUCUCGGAGCUUAACUUCGAAACUGCAUUCGAUACUGCCGUGCUUGAGGACUGGAGAGGAGACUGGAAUUUACGGUGUAGCGGUGAA